rnacentral:lncRNA from 1 species
CACAGAACAUGUGUUUGGCUGGCUGCCUGGCUAUGAGGUGAAUUUUAAGUAACUUUUCAGGCCAUAUUUACCUGAGGGGUUCAGACAGCAUUAGAGUAUGGCCUCAGUUUGCUUUCCAAAAGUAUGCUAAGUUACAUACGAUACUCUCUUUGAAAGUUAAACAAUAGAUCAAGAGACCUGGUACAAAGGAUUUCUCAUAUAAGUAACUGGUAGAGAAAAAUUAAAAUGUAGUUUUGUAUAUUAUAUUUUUGAGACCAACCCUACUGAAGAAUUCUCUACAUAUGGACCAUGAUAUGCAGCUAGAAAUCACCAAGCAGAGAUGUUCCAAGUAUCAAUUUUGUGACAGGAGUAUUUAGAAGAGAAGCAUCAUGAUGCUUGCAUCUUACAUUCAAGUGGUUUGACAAAAACAUCGACAUUAAUUCCUUGAGCUCAAAUAAAUACGUUGCAGAUAAAUGAAGCCACUUUUCUCACUGUUGAAGAAGAAAAUUACAGAUAUGAAAACAGGUAAGAUAGAAUUAAUCCCCUGGGCCGGGCACAGUGGCUCACACCUGUAAUACCAGUACUUUGGGAAGCCAAGGCAGACAGAUCUCUUGAGGUCAGGAGU